rnacentral:misc_RNA from 1 species
AUGCGAUAAGUAAUGUGAAUUGCAGAAUUCAGUGAAUCAUCGAAUCUUUGAACGCAGAUUGCGCCCUUUGGUAUUCCGAAGGGCAUGCCUGUUUGAGUGUCUUAUAAACCUCACCUCUAAUGUUUUUCUCAUUAGUCGUGCUUUGGGUGUUGCCGUCUGGCUCGCCUUAAAUGCCUAAGUGGAAUGCGUAAUAAGUCUCGCAACCCUCCACUCUAACACUUUUAUAUUCUGACCUCAAAUCAGGUAGGACUACCCGCUGAACUUAA